CCUACGGGAGGCAGCAGUGGGGAAUUUUGGACAUGGGGGCACCUGAUCCAGCCAUGCCGCGUGCGGGAAGAAGGCCUUCGGGUUGUAAACCGCUUUUAGUCGGGAAGAAAAGGCGCGGCCUAAUACGUCGCGUUCUUGACGGUACCGGCGGAAUAAGCACCGGCUAACUACGUGCCAGCAGCCGCGGUAAUACGUAGGGUGCGAGCGUUAAUCGGAAUUACUGGGCGUAAAGCGUGCGCAGGCGGUUCGUUAAGUCUGAUGUGAAAGCCCCGGGCUCAACCUGGGAAUGGCAUUGGAAACUGGCGGGCUUGAGUGUGGCAGAGGGGGGUGGAAUUCCGCGUGUAGCAGUGAAAUGCGUAGAGAUGCGGAGGAACACCGAUGGCGAAGGCAGCCCCCUGGGCUAACACUGACGCUCAGGCACGAAAGCGUGGGGAGCAAACAGGAUUAGAUACCCUGGUAGUCCACGCCCUAAACGAUGAUCACUGGGUGUUCGGGGAGCGAUCUCUGAGUACCGAAGCUAACGCGUGAAGUGAUCCGCCUGGGGAGUACGGUCGCAAGAUAAACUCAAAGGAAUUGACGG
rnacentral:rRNA from 1 species